CGUCUAUAUACGUAUAGCAUAUCAAUAAGCGGAGGAAAAGAAACUAACAAGGAUUCCCUUAGUAACGGCGAGUGAAGCGGGAAGAGCUCAAAUUUGAAAUCUUCAAGGUUUUACCUUGACGAAUUGUAGUUUAAAGAAGUGUUUUCUGUUGAAGUUUCGGUAAAAGUUCUUUGGAAUAGGACAUCAUAGAGGGUGAGAAUCCCGUAUUUGACCGUUAUUUUCAGCUGUGUGAUACACUUUCAAAGAGUCGGAUUGUUUGGGAAUGCAGUCCAAAAUGGGUGGUAAAUUUCAUCUAAAGCUAAAUAUUGGCGAGAGACCGAUAGCGAACAAGUACCGUGAGGGAAAGAUGAAGAGAACUUUGAAAAGAGAGUUAAACAGUACGUGAAAUUGUCAAAAGGGAAGCGUUUGACACCAGUGCUGUUUUCUCGAAAAUCAAUUAAAAAUGGCUUGAUUUUGUGUUGUAUUGACCUUAAAAGCUUUCUGCACUUUUUUCAUGUCUUUUUUAAUGCACUUUUCGUUUAACAAGUCAACAUCAGUUUCUUUUGUUGUAAAAAGGUCAUUGGAAGGUGGCUUUCUUUUCGGAGAAAGUGUUUAUAGCCUUUGACUCCUGCAAUCGGAGAGACUGAGGUCUGCAGCGUAGAUCCUUCUUGGAUUAGAUUCAUUUGUGCUAAGUUAUAGCUUUUUAUAGACAACUUGUUGACUAUAUUUAGUCAUGUAACUUACUCGCUUAUGUAAUUUUACCUACGCUUAGGAUGUUGAUCUGUAGUGCGUGCGC
rnacentral:rRNA from 1 species